UGGAGUAUAGCUCAGUGGUAGAGUGCUUGCCUAGUAUUAAUACUCUGGCUUCAAUCCCCAGUACUGCAA
rnacentral:tRNA from 1 species